UACGAAGGGGGCUAGCGUUGUUCGGAUUUACUGGGCGUAAAGCGCACGUAGGCGGUUUGUUAAGUCAGGGGUGAAAUCCCAGAGCUCAACUCUGGAACUGCCUUUGAUACUGGCAAGCUCGAGUCCGGAAGAGGUAAGUGGAACUCCUAGUGUAGAGGUGGAAUUCAUAGAUAUUAGGAAGAACACCAGUGGCGAAGGCGGCUUACUGGUCCGGAACUGACGCUGAGGUGCGAAAGCGUGGGGAGCAAACAGG
rnacentral:rRNA from 1 species